CAGCAGCCGCGGUAAUACGUAGGGUGCAAGCGUUAAUCGGAAUUACUGGGCGUAAAGCGUGCGCAGGCGGUUAUAUAAGACAGAUGUGAAAUCCCCGGGCUCAACCUGGGAACUGCAUUUGUGACUGUAUAGCUAGAGUACGGCAGAGGGGGAUGGAAUUCCGCGUGUAGCAGUGAAAUGCGUAGAUAUGCGGAGGAACACCGAUGGCGAAGGCAAUCCCCUGGGCCUGUACUGACGCUCAUGCACGAAAGCGUGAGGAGCAAACAGGAUUAGAUACCCGCGUAGUCCCUGUCUCUUAUAC
rnacentral:rRNA from 1 species